GGGAAUCGGCGGCUAGAAAGUGGGUGAUAAGGGUUUUAUAUGCCGGAGCAGCCUCUUUAAAUUUAAGCUCGACGCACAUAAAGGAAGUUCCCAAGUGCGUUUCCAGACUCACAAACCUGUCAGUCCUCCUGUUAAACAACAACUCCAUCACAGGCCUUCCCACUGAGCUGCUCUCCUUACAUCAAGUGGCUUCAAGAACCUUGUCCUCAAUCUGAACCACAACCAGAUUCACAGACUUCCGCCAGGGAUUAAAAGAAUAUUGUAAAUGAACAGAAGCAAGUAAACUGUCUGUCCUUGGAGGUUACAAGGAAGUGAUACCAUUACUGAACCGUUCCUCAUUAGAGGGGGUGUAAGACAAGAACCCAGCCGUCAGGCCAGCUCCCUGUCUCUGGCAGUUCUGGGUCACCACCAGCCACACUGCAAAAAACCCCAAAAACAACCACCAUUACCAGACUGCAUUUGCUGCAGAAAUCAGACAGAAAUGCUGCAGCAACAU